ensembl:lncRNA
CUGGAACACGAGGGUGCUGUAGUCUAGAACACGAGGUCACUACAACAAAACUAGUCACUGGAGACACUUUGAACACGAAAGUUGACUCUGCUGUCUUAACUGGCACCGCUGUGAGGGACUUUGGUUUAGUGACCACUUACAACAAGAGUGUACAAAUCCCCUGCUUCCUGUGUAACAGUCUCUACACCUCCGAGAGCCCUGCUUCCUGUGCAAGGCUGUCUCUACGUCUCCUAGGCAGUCUGUGGCCUCACAUGACACCCUGGACCUAAUCAUAUACUUUGGAUCAAAUUUUAUAUGGCUGUGAAUUUGUUUCCUAAUUACCUACGUUCAAAACCUUGAAUAAUUACAAAGACAAAAGGCAUAUAAAAGCAAAAUAAAAAUUUCCCUCCUGGCUUUGUGUCAUUAAGGGGCCACCCAUUCCCAUUUUAAGACAAAGGGGGACCAAUCUAAUGGAUUAAAACUGCUGUAAACACAG